ensembl:lncRNA
GAGAGACACAGUCGAAGAGACAGUAUUUGUCUUCCCAUGUAACCAUCCAUUGUGAUAAACCCUGCUUUCCUGAAAUGUCUGCUUUCCUGGAGCCCUACUUUCCUGGCUGAGCAUCUACUUGCCUUCUAAGUUCUCUCUGUGUUCUGUUUUGAGUUAAUUAAUUCUUCAGAAAUUCACAGCAUCCACUGAAGAAGGUGGGAGUUGUUGCAAAAAUAAUGUUGGAUUGUGGCUUGGGUACUUCAUUAAAAUUCAGUGAAAUGACCUGCUGAAAGCAAAAUGCUGCAUCAACGUUUCAGACUUGAAAUAGCUUCAGUGGUCCUGUGGACGAAGAGGAAUAUAUGGCAUUUUAAAUUUGCAUUCCAGCCCGUACUUUCCUCAUCUGACAAGCUAACAUGUGGACAGCUCCAAAACUCUGCAUUUCCUUUACUCAUGACAUGCUGAGGAUAAUUUCCGGUAGUGCAUCCGUCUACUCUGACAAGGAAAAGACCAAAAGGAUCAGAAGAUAAAAUUGGUAUUUAACACAGUCACAAGGAGCUGACAGUGAUCACUGAAGCCUUCCAGUUUCAGUUCAUUUCCAAGUGAGUGAAAUACAUGGCUCUUUCAUUCAGUCCAUGCUGCAAAUUCACACUAUAUGUAUAGAAUCUUGUAGCUCGUGGACAUCCCAAUGAAGAUACGUGUACUACCAGCAAAUGACAUGACAAAUUAAGAUACUGAGUUGAAAUUAAAGAAAUGGAUCUCAUGAAGUCUUUGUUACAAAACUUUAUUCUUUCCAUUCUUGAAACCUAACGUUGACUAGACUGAUCAGAUCAAGCUAUUUAGCCACCACUCCUGUUUCUAGCAGUGGAUUAUCAGACGCUUAAGGAAAGGACAUAAAACAGAGCAGGCACUGAGUAAUCUUUAUGUCCACUAAAACAUACAGUAGCUGAAAUUUCUGCACGAGGGUCCUCCCCUAGAUAGUUGUUUCAUAGCUUUUGACAGACCUUCCUCCAUGAAUUUGUCUAAUCCCUUAGUGAACUUGCAAAUACUUUAUCCAGUUAGUUUCUCUAUUGGUAUUCCCCCUUUUUUCUUCCAUCAAUAAAAUAAAAUAGGAACUUUUUAUUUGAGUUAUUUAUUUCUUUAUGUAGGAGCAAGUCUGCCUGUUUCUUGGGCUUAUUAAAAACAACGUCUCUAAUGGGAUAAGAUUGGUAUUUUCGUUCAGAAAUAAUAUAUUUUAUGUGAUAAUACAUGAGUGACCAAACAUGAAAAGUUUUCACAGAUCAAGGAAUGAGCUGCUGUGAAUGCCCACGACCAUGGAUGAUGGAUAAAAAAACCUAUGUCUUUAAAACACAGAUCCUACUCAUUCUAUAAGAAGGGCCUUAAUCCUUUUAUGGGGGCUAUUUCAUAAUAGCUCAAGUGGUAGAAGUCUUGACUCAUUAGAAGUGCUUGUGGUGCCCUCUGCCAAAACACCUCCGGUAAGAGUAAGAACCUUCAUCUUAGGUGUAGCAACCCAAAUAGUCUCCUUUGGAACAUAGUGCUUUUACAUAAAGCAAUUGUGAAUUCCAAACUUGUUAUGCCAGUGAAAUAAAUAAUGCUAACACAUUUUAGUGCAAUAAUUCAAGACCUGUGGAUGCCUCCCUGUGACAAAGUAAUAUAUAUAUAUAUAUAUAUAGCUUACUUAUGCACUGUUUUCCUAUUCUCUGUGUUGCACAUACAUGCCUGCCUAAGUAGAAGAGCACGCUGGAUGAGCAUAUAUUGCCAAUCGCAUAUUGGAUAAGGCAGGAAUUCUAUGAGCUUGGCGAGUUCUACUCACUCAUUUAAUUUAACAGUCUAUUGACCUGUUCAUGCCAUUUCUUUCAGGUUUAGCACCCAAUCAUGGCAUUAAAAAAGAUAAUUAAAGUGCCCCCAGAUGUUUCACAGUGAGCCAAGUUUACAAAACAGUAAGAGCAUACUUAGCUUCUACAUUAUUUGGAAAGAUUUAGGGAAAGGAAUUGUGUAUUAGAUUCUGCAUGGUUCUCCAUAUUAAAUAUUCGUUUCACCAAAUAUAAAGAAAUACACGUUCCAUCUCAAUGAUCUAAAAAUACAAUUGAACAUUGUCAUACCAUCUGUCUCUGCAGUGUUUUGACCUGACUUCCAACAAAUAUUGCCCAGAAAUACUUGAAUUAUCCUGUGAAAACUGUUUGUAUGACUAGUCAUUUUUAACAGUGUUCCAAAAAAAAAAAAAAAAAAAGUGCCAUCUGCAGAGAUUGAAAGUGUAUCAGCUGCAGUGCACAGACCUUAGGAAAAGCAGGAGAGGGAGUAUAUUUCUUGGGUUAAUUGCAAGUUUUCUGGCUGAUUAAGAAACAUUAUCUGAAGCACUCGCACUGACUCAUGGUUCAAAGUGCACUGUUGUGUAUUGAAAUACAGGAUUAUAAGGAAGUCUGUUUUUGGGGAAGUAUUUUUAUAAGGAUCGUAACAUUUGAUCAUCUCCCAUGUCUUAAUAAAAUAAUUUCUGAAGGAAGGUCUGAUGCUGCAGAUAUCUCCAUAUAAAAAGUCUAAAACAGGGGGAAAUACUAAUCUUUGACUUGAUAAAAAAAAUCAGAUAUUUGCCACAAGAUUACAUUAGAUUUUCAGGAAAUAUCUCACUAUAUUUUCAGUAAAGACAGCUAUCUGUUCAAAAG